GUGUGUGUGUGUGUGUGUGUGUGUGCGCGUCUCUGGUUGUCAGCUGUGGGUUUAGUCUGAUGGCAAUUCUUCCCGUUGUUUUAUAACCUAAAACAACAAAAUAAACACAUUCAUUAGUGUUAUGAUUGAUUUAAUAUGUCUAGGACUACCAUUUGUCCAUUGAAAAAAGAUUUGUAACUUUGUUGUUGACAAUUUGGAUUCAGACCAAGCGGUCCGAAAUUUAGCGCACAUAUGAAGAUAGGCCGUCCCAAAUGAGCUUUUUUGCUCAUAUAGGUGUCUCAGUGUGUAUUUUUACCAUAUGGAAAUUCAAUAUUUAAGUUCAAUAUCUGUCAAUAUUACAUACGUUUAAUCAGUUUAGCUUUACAUGCUAAUGUUAGCUUCGAAAGUGUUCACAGCCUAACGAGCAGCUGUACACGACAGACAACUUCAGCAAACGUUUAAAAAGGUAAACUUUUCAUAAAAUGUAAGCAUUACGAGAUACACAUUGGUUACAGUAGCUAAUGUCCACAAAUAUAAAAGUAUAAAUACCUUUUCGACCGAUGAAAGCUAAAACUCAAGGCCGUGUCUGAGGAAAUCACCUGGAGAACCGUUAACGCAGCUGAGCGUUGCCAUAGAUAUAUGCUGCACGUGCCCUAAAGUGACGUCAUUUGAUCGACACUUGCUUGUGGCCUGUCUCCCAAUGCGGCUAUAUUACACAAUUUCUUUUUCUUUUUUUGGAGCUGCACGUGGUAUAGCAGUCUUAAAUGCAAUAACUAAAAUAAUAAUUUUCCUAAAUAACUUUUCUUGUCGGCUUACCAACAGUUUAAUAUAUAAAUGGAAAUAAUUAAUUUAUUUAUCUUACCUGUGUUAUUUUCCUCUUUCUUUUCUUCAUGUUUUCCUUGGCUGCAUUCAUCACUCUAUAACAUUCUUUAAGGGCUCCUGCAACCUUAUUUUCUUCAUGUAUGGGGAAUGCAUAAACCUAAUUGUAGCCUAUUAUAUUAUUGAAGGGUAUCAUGAUUUUGAUGUUUAAAUGCUGAAAACAGACUCCUGAUUUGAUGACAUUUUUAAUUACAGAAGUUACUCCUAUUUUCUUUUUCAAGAAAUGAAAAUUAUUAAUUUAACAUUAACUUCAGUUUACAAUGAUUUCAAAUAAUACUAUAGUAAAUAAUGAAGUGUCGCGCCCCGCAGUUCGAAGAAUGAAACAAAGACUUGGAGUUUUGAUGCCAGAAAAAUUUGAUUUUAUUCGGCCGAAACAAAACCGAAGCUCUCUCUUCAGAAAAGCUUCUCGACUGUCCUUUGUCUUUGGUUUAUAUACAAGCCAUUUAAGGCGGAUUCUAAUGUUAAGUCAUAUGCAUACAUUUCACUUGUGUAUGUAAUUCUAUCUGUCCCAGAGGAGAAGAGACCCUCUAGAAUUUGUUAUGGUAAGGGGGAGAAAGCCCCCUCCUCAUUUCUUCCAGAUGUGCUUUGCCACGUACACAUUUGGACACAAAGGCCUUCAGAAUAUAUUGGCAGAUUCACUAGAUACUUUAUAGGCAAAAUUUACCUUGAUUAUGUCUAAGUAAUUCUGAUUAAUAUCAAUAAAAAUCCUCUACAAUAAUAAUAAUAUCAAUCUGCAAAACAAAAAAAAGUUGUUUUUGCAUUUUGCAUUCUACACUGUUAGACAUUUCUGUAAUUUCCACAGUUAUUUACUGUGUAUCACCCAGUAUAAUACUGCAAAUUCCCUUUACAGUAAAUAACUAAUACCCUUUGCAUCAUGGGAAUUUUCUGUGACGUCAGACCCUACAUACAGAGACUUACUGUAUUUUUUUUAAAUUGCUGUAUACUACUGUAACGGUCUCUUUGGCGCCAUUAUACUGAGGUCGUUUUUUUCCCCUCAUUUCUUACAUUUGGAUUGACACAAUUUGACCUGCACCGUGUCUAUAACGCCGCAGCAGCUUGGGACUGACUACUGGAUGUGUUACAUCGCUUCUAAUGAUUGGAAAAUCCAUUUGUAGCCUACUUCGUGUCAGAAACAGCGCGAGCGCUUGGAGUACAUCUGUACAUCAGAAAUAUACCGGGGCAUCACAUUACUGUCCGCAUCCACUGUAGAUAAUAUAUAUAAUGGGUUCUAUGUUGUUUUUUUAUCGAGUCGCGCCUCGCCGCGCCGCGCCACUCGCGUCCGAGAAAGACACGGAAGCAUCGGGCAGCGCUGCGGGUUUUUCCCGGGGAUGAACACGCGAGAGUGGGAGAGCUCCGGAGAACAUCUACGCUGUGUGUCGAUGCACUUUACGAGAGAAAAAGACCAGCAAGCAAGGCAACUGCAAUGAAGCAUCAAGAAAGACAUGAGCAGGCCAGCCACCCUGAGACUGAUAAUUCAUGAGAAGACAUUUCUGUCAAAGUGUAUGGUGAGCAAAGAUGGUGGUGAUUUGGAGCAGCACCUGGGUUUUGCAGGCCGUUAUGUAUUCUUUGGCUGUUUGUCUUUUUUCCCCAUUAUGUUUCUGUUGCCUAAAGAUUCUUUGUGAGGAUAAAUCACAACAAAAUGCACUGCAAAACGUCCUAAGACAGGAGAAAUGGUGAAGAUGCACUGUUCCAGCAUUGGAAGAGCGUAUUUUUA